GACGAACGCUGGCGGCGUGCUUAACACAUGCAAGUCGAACGGAAAGGCCCCUUCGGGGGUGCUCGAGUGGCGAACGGGUGAGUAACACGUGGGUGAUCUGCCCUGCACUUUGGGAUAAGCCUGGGAAACUGGGUCUAAUACCGGAUAGGACUACGGCCUGCAUGGGUUGUGGUGGAAAGCUUUUGCGGUGUGGGAUGGGCCCGCGGCCUAUCAGCUUGUUGGUGGGGUGAUGGCCUACCAAGGCGACGACGGGUAGCCGGCCUGAGAGGGUGUCCGGCCACACUGGGACUGAGAUACGGCCCAGACUCCUACGGGAGGCAGCAGUGGGGAAUAUUGCACAAUGGGCGCAAGCCUGAUGCAGCGACGCCGCGUGAGGGAUGACGGCCUUCGGGUUGUAAACCUCUUUCAGCAUCGACGAAGCGCAAGUGACGGUAGAUGCAGAAGAAGCACCGGCCAACUACGUGCCAGCAGCCGCCGUAA
rnacentral:rRNA from 1 species